rnacentral:rRNA from 1 species
UACGAAGGGGGCUAGCGUUGCUCGGAAUCACUGGGCGUAAAGGGUGCGUAGGCGGGUCUUUAAGUCAGGGGUGAAAUCCUGGAGCUCAACUCCAGAACUGCCUUUGAUACUGAAGAUCUUGAGUUCGGGAGAGGUGAGUGGAACUGCGAGUGUAGAGGUGAAAUUCGUAGAUAUUCGCAAGAACACCAGUGGCGAAGGCGGAGCUCAC